GGGCCCGCACAAGCGGUGGAGUAUGUGGUUUAAUUCGAUGCAACGCGAAGAACCUUACCAGGGUUUGACAUCCUGCGAAUCUCUUGGAAACAGGAGAGUGCCUUCGGGAACGCAGUGACAGGUGGUGCAUGGCUGUCGUCAGCUCGUGUCGUGAGAUGUUGGGUUAAGUCCCGCAACGAGCGCAACCCACGUCUUUAGUUACCAGCACUUCGGGUGGGAACUCUAAGGAUACUGCCAGUGACAAACUGGAGGAAGGCGGGGACGACGUCAAGUCAUCAUGGCCCUUACGUGUAGGGCUACACACGUGCUACAAUGGUAUUUACAGAGGGAAGCGAGACAGCGAUGUGGAGCGGACCCCUUAAAGAAUAUCGUAGUCCGGAUCGGAGUCUGCAACUCGACUCCGUGAAGUCGGAAUCGCUAGUAAUCG
rnacentral:rRNA from 1 species